AGUGGGGGAUAACGUAGCGAAAGUUACGCUAAUACCGCAUGUGCCCUGAGGGGGAAAGGAGGGGAUCGCAAGACCUUUCGCUUUCGGAGUGGCCGAUAUCAGAUUAGCUAGUUGGUGAGGUAAAGGCUCACCAAGGCGACGAUCUGUAGCGGGUCUGAGAGGAUGAUCCGCCACACUGGGACUGAGACACGGCCCAGACUCCUACGGGAGGCAGCAGUGGGGAAUUUUGGACAAUGGGGGCAACCCUGAUCCAGCCAUGCCGCGUGAGUGAAGAAGGCCUUCGGGUUGUAAAGCUCUUUCGGACGGAAAGAAAUCCUAUCCGCCAAUACCGGGUGGGGAUGACGGUACCGUCAGAAGAAGCACCGGCUAACUACGUGCCAGCAGCCGCGGUAAUACGUAGGGUGCGAGCGUUAAUCGGAAUUACUGGGCGUAAAGCGUGCGCAGGCGGUUUUGUAAGACAGGUGUGAAAUCCCCGGGCUUAACCUGGGAACUGCAUUUGUGACUGCAAGGCUAGAGUGUGGCAGAGGGGGGUAGAAUUCCG
rnacentral:rRNA from 1 species